UUGGAAAGUAAAAAGUCGUAACAAGGUUUCCGUAGGUGAACCUGCGGAAGGAUCAUUAUCGAGUUUUGAACGGGUUGUAGCUGGCCUUUCACGAGGCAUGUGCACGCCUGGCUCAUCCACUCUUAACCUCUGUGCACUUUAUGUAAGAGAAAAAAAUGGUGGAAGCUUCCAGGAUCUCGCGAGAGGUCUUCGGUUGAACAAGCCGUUUUUCUUUCUUAUGUUUUACUACAAACGCUUCAGUUAUAGGAUGUCAACUGUGUAUAACACAUUUAUAUACAACUUUCAGCAACGGAUCUCUUGGCUCUCGCAUCGAUGAAGAACGCAGCGAAAUGCGAUAAGUAAUGUGAAUUGCAGAAUUCAGUGAAUCAUCGAAUCUUUGAACGCACCUUGCACUCCUUGGUAUUCCGAGGAGUAUGCCUGUUUGAGUCUCAUGGUAUUCUCAACCCCUAAAUUUUUGUAAUGAAGGUUUAGCGGGCUUGGACUUGGAGGUUGUGUCGGCCCUUGUCGGUCGACUCCUCUGAAAUGCAUUAGCGUGAAUCUUACGGAUCGCCUUCAGUGUGAUAAUUAUCUGCGCUGUGGUGUUGAAGUAUUUAUGGUGUUCAUGCUUCGAACCGUCUCCUUGCCCGAGACAAUCAUUUGACAAUCUGAGCUCAAAUCAGGUAGGACUACCCGCUGAACUUAAGCAUAUCAAUA
rnacentral:rRNA from 1 species